rnacentral:rRNA from 1 species
AAAUUGAAGAGUUUGAUCAUGGCUCAGAUUGAACGCUGGCGGCAGGCCUAACACAUGCAAGUCGAACGGUAGCACAGAGAGCUUGCUCUCGGGUGACGAGUGGCGGACGGGUGAGUAAUGUCUGGGAAACUGCCUGAUGGAGGGGGAUAACUACUGGAAACGGUGGCUAAUACCGCAUAACGUCGCAAGACCAAAGAGGGGGACCUUCGGGCCUCUUGCCAUCAGAUGUGCCCAGAUGGGAUUAGCUAGUUGGUGAGGUAACGGCUCACCAAGGCGACGAUCCCUAGCUGGUCUGAGAGGAUGACCAGCCACACUGGAACUGAGACACGGUCCAGACUCCUACGGGAGGCAGCAGUGGGGAAUAUUGCACAAUGGGCGCAAGCCUGAUGCAGCCAUGCCGCGUGUAUGAAGAAGGCCUUCGGGUUGUAAAGUACUUUCAGCGGGGAGGAAGGUGUUGUGGUUAAUAACCGCAGCAAUUGACGUUACCCGCAGAAGAAGCACCGGCUAACU